rnacentral:rRNA from 1 species
GACGAACGCUGGCGGCGUGCUUAACACAUGCAAGUCGAACGCUGAAGCUCAGCUUUUGUUGGGUGGAUGAGUGGCGAACGGGUGAGUAACACGUGAGUAACCUGCCUCCUUCUUUGGGAUAACGCCCGGAAACGGGUGCUAAUACUGGAUAUUCACUGGUCUUCGCAUGGGGGUUGGUGGAAAGGGUUUUUCUGGUGGGGGAUGGGCUCGCGGCCUAUCAGCUUGUUGGUGGGGUGAUGGCCUACCAAGGCUUUGACGGGUAGCCGGCCUGAGAGGGUGACCGGUCACAUUGGGACUGAGAUACGGCCCAGACUACUGCGGGGGGCAGCAGUGGGGAAUAUUGCACAAUGGGCGCAAGCCUGAUGCAGCGACGCCGCGUGAGGGAUGGAGGCCUUCGGGUUGUGAACCUCUUUCGCUCAUGGUCAAGCCGCAACAAUGGUUGUGGUGAGGGUAGUGGGUAAAGAAGCGCCGGCUAACUACGUG